rfam:Virgibacillus soli strain PL205 scaffold000021, whole genome shotgun sequence.
UAAUAAGGAUAAACGGCUAAGGUCGUCAUAUCCUGUGGUAACACCCUCAGACCUACAUAUCCUGUAGG